AACGUGGAUCCUCAGGUUCAGUCUCUUUUACGACAAGAAUUCCACAGAGUAUCGGUGCAAUUGGGUGUCUCAUACAAAUCAGUUGCUGAGCUGUUUCCAAUGAGAAAACUGCACCUGUGGAGCAGAGAUGGGGUACACCUAAGUGACGAUGAUGGGAUGAAAAUCCUAAAUAAAGCAAUAUAUGAGGCCUCACAUGAGCAGAUUCACAAGCCAACUGCAGAGACGGAGGUGAUGCCCACCAUGUCAUGCUCUCCUCCAAAGAUGCUUGAGCAGGUUCCCAAGCCAACUGCUGAAAAAGUCUCAAAGUUGCUUUGUACACCUGAGGUUCCAGUUGUGGCCCCACAAGAUCCCUUUGAAUGGAACAUUGUCGGAUCUCAC